rnacentral:lncRNA from 1 species
UUGGCAGAAGUUUGGUUAGCCAUCGAAACAAAUCCUGUGCCCCACCCCUCUUGAAAAAUUGAUUUGAGAGUUGGGGAAAUCAGGCUUUCUUUUUUUUCUUUCUUGCCUUUUUUAUUAUUAAUAUUUUUGUUGUUGUUGGUUUUUUUUUUUUUUAAACUCCAGCGCUCAGAGGAGUGGCCCCGAGCGAGGCCAGACUGUGCGGACGGCGGGGAACACAGCGACUUCUCCAGGGGACGGCGCCAGGCGGGAGAGGGUGCCCCAAACCCGGACUUGUAGGCUAAGAGGCCUGGCCAGGGUUAGAGACUGAGCGCUGGCCACCCUGGGCAAAGUGGGCCUCGACAGCGGGCAACGCAAGGGCAGCGGCAUGCAGCUGGCGACUCCUGGGUGCAUCCGGCCAGACACCCGCGAGAAAACUAGAAGACGUCGCGUCGGACACAGGUGUGAGAAAUCUAAGGCCUUGAGCCCUGAGGUUGGGCAGAGGCCUGGGCCUGGACCGCCUUCUCUGGGUAUCUGGGCCCCGGCGCGCGUUACUGCGGGAAGAAGCCGAGCGGGUAAGGUUGGGGCGUGCAGAGCCGGGAGGCACCGAACCGCUCGCAGAGGCAGCGGCCCAACCGGGUGCACUCCGCCCUCUGCUGGCCAUAGUGUGUCUCUGCAACCGCUGUUGGGCACCGAAAGCCCUGGUUCCAGGCCGGGACUUCGCCAUCUCCUUCAGGCUGAGUCGAAGUAUCUUCUCUGUCUCAAACCCUAAAGACGUACCUCGGACUCUAAGCAAUCCGCGCAGUGUUUCACACACCCCCCAUUGUCACCCUCCCAUUUUCCCCACGCUCCCUGUGCCUGUCCAUUUCUACCCCAUCCCUCUCAGUUUCUCUUUGGCUGAAUGGUGGCCCCUGUGGCCCGGCCUCAGAGGCUUCCCUGAUCCUCUGACUGGCAUCCAAGACCCGGUCUGGACCUUUGGCUGCGUUUGCUGCGCGUUCUGCAGUGUUUGAAGCCAGGUCUCAGCACCGAGGGCACACCUGUAGCCCCCCAUUUGAUGCAUGGCUGGUGUGUUUUCCAAGCCUCAGAGUUUUGGGGGUCUCUCCCUGCGCAGCCCUGUUACCGGGCCCACUCGGGUCAGGCUGCUGAAACUGUCGGCAACUGAGUCCAGAGCUCCCUGGGCGAACAGUGAAAGCAGGAUUGUCUCUAGUUCUAUUGAGGACGAUGCUCCGUUCACAGAUGCCUGUUUCCUUCUGUCCGUCCUCCUCAACCUGCAGGCCUUCUUUGUCCUUACUUUCCAACCCUGAGUUAACUAGACCAGGUCUUCACAUUGCCCCGCAUAGUCGUCCAUGUGUCUCCGAAGCAUUCUUAGGGUUCUUGGUCUCCCAUCCUUUGCCUCUAAGGAAGAAUAACACUGGACUGGACAGGAGAACACCGGCCUAGGCCUGGAACCUACUUCCCUCCGCGGGCCUCAAGCUCCUGGCUCCGCUUGUCUCUUCUGUACAAACUGAUGCCCACCCCCGGCUCUGAGACUCACAAUGCCGGCGGCCCAUCGCUCUCGCGCGCGCCGUCCAACGCGGGAUGCUUUUGGCCUCCGACGUCUGCUGUAGAAUCCGCUCGGGAUUGUUUCGACCCGAGCCAAGAGGAGGGAGGAGAGUUGCCAACAACGGCUGGAAUCGCAAGAAACAAAUCAGGGAGAGAUCUGGGCUCUUCUUAUCCCAGAGGCGUGCAGCUCCUGAGUCCUGCCUUGGUCUCUGGCUCUUCUCCUUUAGGACCUUGCAACCUCACUCGGUACAUCUCGUGCGAGCGUGUGAGCAGGGUUGGGGAGUGGGGAGCGGUGGGAAGAGAAGGGCUACACCAGCGAAAACCCAACCGUUUGGUGCUUCUGUCCAGAGUCCGGGAGAGAGAGGACCUUCCCUCCAGGUUUAGAACCACCGGCUGCAGUAUCGGAUCUCAGCAGGAGGAGGACCAGAUGCAGCCUUGGAUCAGCAAGGAGGCUAUCAAACUAUCAGAAGCGUCGCACCGGCCUUCCUGCUCUGCCUCAAGAGCCGAGGCUAUGGAACACCUAGGCUCACUCCAUGCUGCCCAGGCUAAUGGCCCCUCAAGAUCUACGAGGCUCUGCCGCGCAGAAUCAAAGCUGUCCCAAGCCAUGGGCCAAGUCGGGAGCUACUCCUCGGGGAAACUCAGUCUACCCCAGGUCCUCGGUGAUGAAGAACCCGAAGAUCACGGAAAUGGAGCAAGGGCGCGCCCAAGGCUCAGCAGAGGUCGAUCGUUGGCAAUCCAAUUCUCGAGCAUCCAGGUACCCCUCCGAGCAUCCUAGCUGGUCUUCACCCUAACGACACACGAGUCAAAGCAUUGGACGACCACUUUCUACUACCUAAGGAAGGGCGUCUGAGGUCUCCCUGUGCUGAUGGAAGUUCUCCAGAGAGGCGAGACUGGAGAGGGAUUUCUGGGGGUACUUAUUCUCCACUGGGGGCUUUUGAGGCUGAUGAGAGAGGUUUUGGUCAGGGUUUGCGGGUGGCCGGUGAGUGUUAGGAUGCCUAAAGCCAGUAGAUGAACACCCGCAGCCAAAUCCCUCAGACCUCCAACAACCCCCACUCUGACCAUUACUCUGGACCAUCAGUCAUGGGCUUGCUCCACGUGUGGGGAAAUCAGGCUCCCUCAGAUCCAAAGGCUGCCGGCAGCUCUUGGGAAGGUUCAGAGAAGGUUCCCAGGACUGGUGACCAGAACUGAGGUCUCCUAAUGGCUACACAACGGUUAGGGACGGAAGAGCAGGUAUCAGGAAGCAUCCUCUUGUCUCAGGGUCUGGUUAGGAGACACCAGGGUAGAAGACCUGUGCUUCGUACUUCACGGUCCCUGUCUUUGCAGUGGGCAUAAAAGAGUCUUACUGAGUCUCUGGGAGGGUCACAUGGAAGUGUGGCCAGUUCACUGCAGGGCUCUAGACCUACUAUUUGAUGAUAAUUGUAUGGGAGGGUAACUUAGACAUAGGAGACUCUCUUCCUCUUCCUCUUCCUCUUCCUCUGCUGCCUCUAGAGCCAGAACAAAAACUUGUCUCAAACUCAGUCCCGUCUGGUCUCUUCCUUCCCUCUGGGACAGAUGAAGUCCCCCAGCCGGCUGCUGUGGAUUGGCCACCUGAGACACGGCCAGUGCCUGGGCACUCGUCACAGACAGCUCAGCCUUCUCACUUUGUCAUGAAACCGGAGGCUGAGGGCAGCUAGCACCGACAGUGAGAGCUUUGAGAGGCAAUAGAAUCAAGUUUUUUUUUUUGUUUUGUUUUUGUUUUUUUUUUUUUUUUUUAAGCUCUUUGGAAAGAAACCCAUUAGAGACUGUGAUGUGUGUAUUCUUGUGUUAUGUUUGCUUUUUACCAAGCACUUUCCCUAAGAAUCUCUGCAUUUCUUGCCAAACGGAUGGUUUCAACAGGCAUCCUGUCUUUAAGAAUGAGUGGCUCCCCAGUCCAGUUACAGGAACCAGAACAAAGGGAGGAUGAAGGACCGUGUUUGGAGCCGUAAAAGCCUCAUUAGGAACUUAAGACUAACUCACAGAAUCGGACACAGAUUCACAAGAGCCAGGGAGUUCAUUGGUCUCCACCCUGAGGGUCCACGGCUGGAGAAGGGGGGGGGUGGGUGUGAGCCAGGGCGGGUGCCUCUCUUAUUUGAUCUCUAUCUUAAAUCCACUUCAAAACGCUGCGGCUCAGCCGAGAAUUGGAGGUUGGCCCCUUCCUGUAAUUAUUUGGUGUCUAGUAAAGUUUUUAUGAGUGUCUGUGCAAAUAAAUGCAUCUGAUGAUGUG